UUGAUGCCAAGCUAUUCAAAU
rnacentral:piRNA from 1 species